rnacentral:rRNA from 1 species
UGGGGAAUCUUGGACAAUGGGCGCAAGCCUGAUCCAGCCAUGCCGCGUGAGCGAUGAAGGCCUUAGGGUUGUAAAGCUCUUUCACCGGUGAAGAUAAUGACGGUAGCCGGAGAAGAAGCCCCGGCUAACUCCGUGCCAGCAGCCGCGGUAAUACGGAGGGGGCUAGCGUUGUUCGGAAUUACUGGGCGUAAAGCGCGCGUAGGCGGACUGAUCAGUCAGGGGUGAAAUCCCGGGGCUCAACCCCGGAACUGCCUUUGAUACUGUCAGUCUUGAGUCCGGAAGAGGCGAGUGGAAUACCGAGUGUAGAGGUGAAAUUCGUAGAUAUUUGGAGGAACACCAGUGGCGAAGGCGGCUCACUGGCUCGAUACUGACGCUGAGGUGCGAAAGUGUGGGGAGCAAACAGGAUUAGAUA